UUCGGCCUCGUUCCCGAUGGCGGCGCGGCCUGGUUCCUGACCAGGCAACUGGGCCGGGCCCGGGCGGCGGAGAUCGUCUUUUCGGGGCGGAC
rnacentral:tRNA from 1 species